rnacentral:rRNA from 1 species
CUCAUUAUAUAAGUUAUCGUUUAUUUGAUAGUACCUUACUACUUGGAUAACCGUGGUAAUUCUAGAGCUAAUACAUGCUAAAAAUCCCGACUUCGGAAGGGAUGUAUUUAUUAGAUUAAAAACCAAUGCCCUCCGGGGCUCACUGGUGAUUCAUGAUAACUCCUCGAAUCGCAUGGCCUUGCGCCGGCGAUGGUUCAUUCAAAUUUCUUCCCUAUCAACUUUCGAUGUUUGGGUAUUGGCCAAACAUGGUUGCAACGGGUAACGGAGGGUUAGGGCUCGACCCCGGAGAAGGAGCCUGAGAAACGGCUACUACAUCCAAGGAAGGCAGCAGGCGCGCAAAUUACCCAAUCCCGACACGGGGAGGUAGUGACAAUAAAUACUGAUACAGGGCUCUUUUGGGUCUUGUAAUUGGAAUGAGUACAAUUUAAAUCCCUUAACGAGGAACAAUUGGAGGGCAAGUCUGGUGCCAGCAGCCGCGGUAAUUCCAGCUCCAAUAGCGUAUAUNAAAGUUGUUGUGGUUAAAAAGCUCGUAGUUGAACCUUGGGCCUGGCUGGCCGGUCCGCCUCACCGCGUGUACUGGUCCGGCCGGGCCUUUCCCUCUGUGGAACCCCAUGCCCUUCACUGGGUGUGGCGGGGAAACAGGACUUUUACUUUGAAAAAAUUAGAGUGCUCCAGGCAGGCCUAUGCUCGAAUACAUUAGCAUGGAAUAAUAGAAUAGGACGUGUGGUUCUAUUUUGUUGGUUUCUAGGACCGCCGUAAUGAUUAAUAGGGACAGUCGGGGGCAUCAGUCUUCCGUUGUCAGAGGUGAAAUUCUUGGAUUUACGGAAGACUAACUACUGCGAAAGCAUUUGCCAAGGAUGUUUUCAUUAAUCAGGAACGAAAGUUAGGGGAUCGAAGACGAUCAGAUACCGUCGUAGUCUUAACCAUAAACUAUGCCGACUAGGGAUCGGACGAUGUUAUUUUNNGACUCGU